AGCUGUCGUGAUGUGGAUUCAUCAAGAGAAGGUUUGCCACACAUGUUGGGGAGCAGAGAGGCAAGCGCCAUGCCUUCCCGGAGACGGAAGAAGAUUGAGCGAGAUUACAUCUCAUUGAACAAUCAUUGGGCUCUUUCUUGCCCUGGAGACUCAAUGAUUUUAUGUCUGAAGGUUCAUAAGUCACAAGAUAUCUGGAAUUAGGUGGUGAAUAAAAGUUCUGUCCAGCCAGUUCUUCUUCCAGUUAAUGACAAAGCCACCUUGGAAGGUAUGAAAGACUGAGUCAAUUUGAAUCCAGGAGGAAUAUCAGAGGAGGAAGGCAAAGACU